GACGAACGCUGGUGGCGUGCCUAAUACAUGCAAGUUGAGCGCUGAAGGUUGGUACUUGUACCAACUGGAUGAGCAGCGAACGGGUGAGUAACGCGUGGGGAAUCUGCCUUUGAGCGGGGGACAACAUUUGGAAACGAAUGCUAAUACCGCAUAAAAACUUUAAACACAAGUUUUAAGUUUGAAAGAUGCAAUUGCAUCACUCAAAGAUGAUCCCGCGUUGUAUUAGCUAGUUGGUGAGGUAAAGGCUCACCAAGGCGAUGAUACAUAGCCGACCUGAGAGGGUGAUCGGCCACAUUGGGACUGAGACACGGCCCAAACUCCUACGGGAGGCAGCAGUAGGGAAUCUUCGGCAAUAGACGAAAGUCUGACCGAGCAACGCCGCGUGAGUGAAGAAGGUUUUCGGAUCGUAAAACUCUGUUGGUAGAGAAGAACGUUGGUGAGAGUGGAAAGCUCAUCAAGUGACGGUAACUACCCAGAAAGGGACGGCUAACUACGUG
rnacentral:rRNA from 1 species